UCGCGUUUCUGUCUAGCCUACUGCAUCUCCAGUCAGUGGUGGCUUUCAUAGUCUAAACAGGCUCCUACACAGCCAUGGCUGAGGGCGGAGAAGGAGAGGAUGACAUCCAGUUCCUGCGAACUGAUGAUGAGGUGGUGCUUCAAAGUGUCGCCACCAUCCAGAAAGAGAAUCGCAAGUUUUGUCUGUCCGUGGAGGGACUCGGUAAUCGACUAUGCUUCCUGGAACCUACAUCUGAGGCUAAGUAUGUUCCUCCUGACCUGUGUAUCUGCUGUUUCAUCCUGGAGCAGUCCCUGUCUGUCCGGGCCCUGCAGGAGAUGUUGGCUCACACGGUGCCUAACAACGAAGGGGCGGCCCAGGGGGGUGGACACCGGACCCUGCUCUAUGGUCACGCCAUCCUCCUACGUCACUCCUUCAGUGGAAUGUACCUGACCUGCUUGAAGACGUCGAGAUCGUUGACAGACAAACUGUCGUUUGACGUGGGAUUACAGGAACAUUCAAUAGGUGAGGCAUGUUGGUGGACCAUCCAUCCUGCGUCCAAGCAAAGGUCAGAGGGAGAGAAGGUCCGUAUCGGAGACGACCUAAUCCUUGUCAGCGUGUCCACAGAGAGGUACCUGCACCUGUCCAUCUCUAACGGUAGUUUCCAGGUGGACGCCUCCUUUAUGCAGACUCUGUGGAACGUCCAGCCUACCCGGUCAGGAAGCAACGUGGCUGUAGGAUUCCUGUGUGGUGGUCACGUGAUGCGUCUGUGUCACGGACAUGAUGAGAGUCUGACCAUACCUGGAUCAGAGGCCAGCGAGAUGGAGCAGAGGAUAGUGAACUAUGAAAUGGGAAAAGGAACGUCCAAGGCCCGCUCCCUCUGGAGGCUGGAGCCCCUCAGGAUUGGCUGGAGCGGCAGCCACAUUCGCUAUGGCCAGGCGUUCCGUCUGCGUCACCUGUCUACCGGUCACUACCUGGCGCUGACCGAAGAGCAGGGUCUGGUCCUACAGGAGAGAGAGAAGUCCGAUACCAAGUCCACCGCUUUCUGCUUCAGGGCUACCAAGGAAAAGAUUGAGUCUGGUACGAAGAACCGGGACAUUGAAGGCAUGGGAGUAGCAGAGAUCAAGUACGGAGACUCAGCCUGCUUCGUCAUGCACGUGGCUACAGGGCUGUGGUUGUCCUACCAGACGCCUGACGCUAAAGCCUCCCGUAUAGGACCCCUCAAGAGACGGGCCUGUCUGCAUGCUGAGGGUCACAUGGACGACGGUCUGACCCUUCAGCGUUGUCAACACGAGGAGGCACGGGCUGUACGCAUCAUCAGGAACACCACAGUCCUCUUCAGCCACUUCAUCAAGGGUCUGGACAGUAUAGGAAGGGAUAAGAACGUGGCGGUGUCUCUGCCUAACUUUGACGAGGUGUUGCAGACGCUGGAUGAUCUCAUUGAGUAUUUCAAACAGCCCGACUCAGAGCUGGAACAUGAGGAGAAACAGACUCUGCUGAGAUCUCUCAUCAAACGACAGGACCUCUUCAAAGAGGAGGGCAUGCUGACCCUGCUGGUGAUGUGCAUCGACCGGCUCAACCUGUACAACAGCGCUGCUCACUUCGGAGAGCAUGCUGGGGAAGAGGCUGGGGCGGCAUGGAAGAGCAUCCUCAACCUCCUCUACCAACUACUGGCCUCUCUGAUCAAAGGGAACAGAAACAACUGCACCCAGUUCUCCAGGAACCUGGACUGGCUGGUCAGCAAGCUGGAGAGACUGGAGUCCUCAUCAGGUAUCCUGGAGGUUCUCCACUGCAUCCUGAUAGAGUCUCCUGAAGCUCUGAACAUCAUCCAGAGAGGACACAUCAAGUCCAUCAUCUCCCUGCUCUAUAAACACGGACGCAACCACAAGAUCCUGGAUGUCCUGUGUUCUCUGUGUGUGUGUAAUGGGGUGGCUGUGAGAGCCAAUCAGAACCUCAUCUGUGAUCACCUGCUUCCCAAGAGAGACCUGCUCCUGCAGACACGAUUGGUCAAUGAUGUUCAGAGUAUGAGGCCCAACAUCUUCCUAGGAGUGGCGGAGGGUUCAGCCCAGUAUAAGAAGUGGUACUUUGAGCUGAUGAUCGACCAGGUGGACCACUAUGUGACCAGUGAGCCAUCUCACCUGCGUGUGGGAUGGGCCUCCACUAAGGGUUACGCCCCCUACCCGGGGGCUGGAGAGGGCUGGGGGGGCAAUGGGGUGGGGGAUGACCUCUACUCAUACAGCUUUGACGGACUCUACCUGUGGUCAGGCCGUAUCCCCCGGGCAGUGGCCUCCAUCAACCAGCACCUGUUGAACAACGAUGACGUGGUGAGCUGUUGUCUGGACCUGGGAGCUCCUUCCAUGUCCUUCAGGAUCAACGGCCAGCCAGUACAGGGCAUGUUUGAAGACUUCAACACUGACGGAUUCUUCUUCCCUGUGGUCAGCUUCUCAGCCGGGGUCAAGGUGCGUUUCCUGUUGGGUGGUCGUCAUGGUGACUUUAAGUUUCUGCCCCCGGCGGGUUACUCCCCGUGUUACGAGGCGCUGCUCCCCAAGGAGAAGAUGAGGGUGGAGGCUGUGAAGGAGUACAAGAGGGACCAUGGAGGGGUCAGGGACCUACUGGGGACAACACAGAUCCUCUCCCAGGCCUCAUUCAUCCCCACUCCUGUAGACACCAGCCAGAUUGUUCUGCCACCUCACCUGGACAACGUGCGGGACAGACUUGCAGAGAACAUCCAUGAACUGUGGGGCAUGAACAAGAUCGAACUGGGCUGGUCCUAUGGCAAGGUUCGAGAUGACAACAAGAGGCAGCACCCUUGCCUGGUGGAUUUCACCAAGCUGCCUGAAACAGAGAGCAACUAUAACCUGCAGAUGUCUAGUGAAACUCUCAAGACCCUGUUGGCACUGGGAUGUCAUGUGACACAGACUAACAUUAAUGCUGAGGAAGAUCUGAAGAAAGUCAAACUGCCCAAGGACUAUGUGAUGUCUAACGGGUACAAGCCAACGCCACUGCAGCUGUCUGAGGUGAAACUGACGGCUGGUCAGGAGGUCCUGGUUGAUAAACUGGCGGAGAACGCUCACAACGUGUGGGCCAAGGACAGGGUCAAACAAGGAUGGACCUACGGCAUCCAGCAGGAUGUGAAGAGCAGGCGUAACCCUCGCCUGGUGCCUUACGCUCUGCUAGACGAGAGAACCAAGAAGUCUAACAGAGACAGUCUGAGGGAGGCCAUCAGGACCCUGGUGGGAUACGGCUAUGACAUCGACCCCCCAGACCAAGAGUCCUGUCAUAUCGUGGAGAGGCAGAGCAUUGAGACGAUCCGGUUCUUCCGCGUAGAGCAGACGUAUGCAGUGAAGACAGGGAAGUGGUACUUUGAGUUUGAGGCCCUGACCGGAGGGGACAUGAGGGUUGGCUGGGCUAGACCAGGCUGUAGGUCAGACUUUGACCUGGGAAUGGACGACCAGGCCUACGUCUUCGAUGGAUACAAGGGUCGUCGUAUGCACAUGGGUGCGCGUUUCUUCGGGCAGUCAUGGAACAAAGGAGACGUGGUGGGCUGCAUGAUCAACAUGGAGGACAAGUCUAUGGUCUUCACCCUCAACGGAGAACUAAUCAUCACUAACAAGGGAUCCGAGCUCUGCUUCGUCGACUUCGAGACAGAGGAUGGCUUCAUCCCAGUGUGUUGUCUGGCCCAGUCUGAGAUUGGCCGUAUGAACCUGGGGAAGGACGCCAGCACCUUUAAGUACUACACCAUGUGUGGCCUGCAGGAGGGCUUUGAACCCUUCGCCGUCAACAUGAACAGAGAGGUCACCAUGUGGUUCAGCAAACGCCUGCCUACCUUCGUCAACAUCCCCAAGGACCACAGCCACAUCGAGGUGACACGGAUAGAUGGGACAGUGGACAACCCUCCGUGCCUGAAGGUGACCCACAAGACGUUUGGGACCCAGCAGAGCAACAGUGACAUGCUGUACUGCAGACUGAGCAUGCCUGUAGAGCUCCACGCUCCUCAUGUCAAUCCUGCCGAGUCUCAGAAACUCAGUCAGCCUCCAAAAGAAGAUGAUUAUGGCAGCAUUACAACAUACUAUCACUCAGUGAGAGUGUUUGCUGGCCAGGACCCGUCGUCAGUGUGGGUUGGCUGGGUAACCCCUGACUACCAUUACCAUAGCAAACACUUCAGCCUCAACAAGACACGCACGGUUACCGUAACCCUGGGAGACGAGAGGGGACGAGUCCACGAGAGGCAAGUUCCAGGUUUUUACCACAAGAGGCAGAUGAGUUGUGACGGCUGUUUGGAGUCCAACAGCAAGCUGUUCCCUGCUGUGUUUGUACGUCCCACCAGCACCAACCUCUUCCAGUUUGAGUUUGUCAAGAUCAAGGACGCCAUGCCCCUGUCGUCAGCCAUCUUUAAGAGUGAACAGCGUAACCCUGUGCCCCAAUGUCCACCACGUCUGGACGUUCAGACCAUCGUAGCGGUGCUGUGGAGCCGUAUGCCCAACACCUUCCUCACCGUGGAGACCGCCAGGGUCUCAGAGAGACACGGCUGGGUGGUGCAGUGUCUGGAGCCACUGCAGAUGAUGGCUGUUCAUAUACCUGAGGAAAACAGGUGUCUGGACAUCCUGGAGCUAUCGGAGGUAGAGAGUCUGAGGAAGUUCCACUACCACACCCUGAAGCUCUACUGUGCCCUCUGCGCAUUGGGCAACACCCGCGUGGCACACGCCCUCUGCUCCCACCUCGACCAAUCGCAGCUGCUUUACACCAUCGACAACCAAUACCUGUCCGGCAUGCUGAGAGAGGGCUUCUAUAAUGUACUUAUGAGCAUCCACCUGGAGACAGCGAAAGAGGCUCGUCUGAUGAUGAACAACGAGUUUAUUAUCCCUGUGACUGAUGAGACGCGCUCCAUCAAGCUGUUCCCUGACGAGUCCAAGAGACACUCUCUACCCGGGGUAGACCUCAGCACCUCGCUGAAACCACGUCUCAACUUCUCCCCUCUCUCCUUCAUCACAACCAAGAAACAGCAGCACCUCUACAGCCCCCAGAUCCCCCUGGGCAUCCUGAAGGAGAAGGCCAUCAGUAUGCUGACUGAGGCGGUGCAGGGAGGAGGCAGUCACAUCAGAGACCCAGUAGGGGGCAGUGUGGAGUACCAGUUUGUCCCCAUCCUCAAGCUGAUUGGGACCCUGCUCAUCAUGGGGGUACUCACCAGCGAGGAGGUGAGGCUGAUCCUCCUUCUCAUCGAUCCCAACGUGUUCGGGGAUCCAGAAGAUGAGGAGGCGAAGGUGGAGGAGGUAGAGGCAGCAGCAGGAGGAGGAGAGAAGGAGGAAGUGAGCAGCAACGAGGUGAAGGCCGUGGAGGCUGGUGAGGAGGAGACCAAGGAGGUCAAAAUGUCUGUCAAGGGACUGCUGGAGAAGACACUGCCUGAGUCUGUCAAACGACAGAUGUGUGAGCUGCUGCACUACUUCUGUGACUGUGAGUUGAAGCAGCGUAUCGAGGCCAUCGUGUCCUUCUCAGACAGCUUCGUGUCCAAGCUGCAGUACAACCAGAAGUUCAGGUACAACGAGUUGAUGUUGGCCCUCAACAUGUCUGCUGCCGUCACCGCCAAGAAGACCAAGGAGUUCAGAUCCCCUCCUCAGGAGCAGAUCAACAUCCUGUUGAACUUUGCUGCUGGGGAGGACUGUCCCUGUCCUGAAGAGAUUCAGGAAGACCUCUACAGCUUCCAUGAUGAGCUGAGACUGCACUGUGGCAUCCCGGUGGAGGAGGAGGAGGAGGAGGAAGACACGUCUAUAAAGGGUCGUCUGCUGGCCAUGCUCUAUAAGAUCAAGGGACCGCCCAAGAAACUAGAGGAGGAACCUACAGAGCAGGAACAGACUGCUCCCACCAACCUGAAGGAGUUGAUCAGCCAGACCAUGGCUAGCUGGGCUCAGGAGUGUAGCAUCCAGGACCCAGAGCUGGUUCGUGUGAUGUUCAGCCUGCUGAGACGUCAGUACGACGGCAUCGGAGCGCUGCUCAGGGCCAUGAGGAAGAGUUACACCAUCUCUGCUGUGUCAGUACAGGACUGUGUCAACCUCCUGGCCUCUCUGGGCCAGAUCAGAUCACUGCUGUCUGUACGCAUGGGGAAAGAAGAGGAGAAACUCAUGAUCGACGGCCUGGGUGACAUCAUGAACAACAAGGUGUUCUACCAGCACCCCAACCUGAUGAGGUUCUGGGGAUGCAUGAGACUGUCAUGGAGGUGAUGGUUAACGUGCUGGGAGGAGACAAGUCACAGGAGAUAGCGUUUCCAAAGAUGGUUGCCAGUUGCUGUCGGUUCCUGUGUUACUUCUGUCGUAUCAGCCGACAGAACCAGAAGGCCAUGUUCGACCAUCUGAGUUAUCUACUGGAGAACAGCUCCGUCGGACUAGCCUCCCCAGCCAUGAGGGGUUCCACUCCCCUGGACGUAGCAGCGUCUUCAGUGAUGGACAACAACAGCCUGGCUCUCGCUCUGGAGGAGCCUGACCUUGAGAAGGUGGUGACCUACUUGGCAGGUUGUGGGCUGCAGAGCUGUGCCAUGCUGCUGGCUAAAGGAUAUCCUGACAUUGGCUGGAACCCCAUAGAAGGAGAGAGAUAUCUGUCUUUCCUCCGCUUCGCUGUCUUCAGCAACGGUGAGAGUGUGGAGGAGAACUCUAACACGGUGGUGAAGCUGCUGAUCAGGCGUCCCGAGUGUUUUGGUCCCGCUCUGAGGGGAGAGGGGGGCAACGGCCUGCUGGCGGCCAUGUUGGAAGCCAUUAAGAUAUCAGAGGACCCUGCUCUGGACCUGCCCUCUACAGCUGAAGGAGAACCUACUGGGUCUGGUGAGGAGGAAGAGGAAGAAGUGGUCCAUACCGGGAACGCCAUCAUGUCCUUCUACUCUGCACUCAUUGACCUGCUGGGACGCUGCGCUCCUGAGAUGCAUCUGAUCAACAAGGGUAAAGGCGAGGCCUUGCGUAUCCGUGCCAUCCUGCGCUCCCUGGUUCCUACUACAGACCUGGUUGGCAUCAUCAGUAUUCCACUCAAGAUGCCCAUCGUCAAUAAAGACGGUAGUGUGACAGAGCCAGACAUGUCGGCUAGUUUCUGUCCGGACCACAAGGCCCCAAUGGUGUUGUUCCUGGAUCGUGUGUACGGUGUGGAGGACCAGAGCUUCCUGCUACACCUGUUGGAGGUGGGCUUCCUGCCUGACCUCCGUGCCUCCGCGUCCCUGGACACGGAUGUGCUAAGCACCACAGAGACAGCUCUGGCCAUGAACAGGUACAUCGGUUCGGCCCUGCUUCCCCUGCUGACCAGGUGUGCUGGCCACUUCUCGGGCACGGAGCACUACGCGGCGCUCAUCGACUCUACCCUCCACACUAUCUAUCGGCUGUCCAAGGGCCGCUCCCUCACCAAGGCCCAGAGAGACUCUAUCGAGGAGUGUCUGCUUGCCAUCUGCAAACACCUGCGCCCUUCCAUGAUGCAACAGCUGCUGAGACGUCUGGUGUUCGAUGUUCCCCUGCUGACGGAGUACUGCAAGAUGCCCCUCAGGCUGUUGACUGAACACUAUGAGCAGAGCUGGAAGUACUACUGUCUUCCCUCGGGGCUAGGGAGCUCCGGCAUGGCCUCGGAGGAAGAACUGUUGCUCACCAAGAAACUCUUCUGGGGAAUAUUCGACUCCCUCUCAGCGAAGAAGUUUGACUCUGACCUGUUCAAGACUGGCAUGGCCUGUCUGAGUGCUACCGCUGGGGCGUUGCCACCUGACUAUGUGGAUGCCAGCCCUGGUGCCACCCUGGAGAAGCAGGCGUCUGUGGAUGCACACGGCAACUUCGACCCUAAACCCAUCAACACUGCCAAUAUCUCCCUUCCAGAGAAACUGGACUACAUCGCCAACAAGUUUGCAGAGCAUUCCCACAUCAAGUGGUCCUCGGAGAAGGUGACAGCGGGUUGGAAAAUGGGAGAGAGUGUGGAUGACAAGGCUAAAACUCACCCACUGCUGAAGCCGUAUAAAUCACUCAGUGAGAAGGAGAGGGAAACAUACCGCUGGCCCGUGAAGGAGUCUUUAAAGAGCAUGCUGGCAAUGGGUUGGAACAUGGAGAGGACCAAAGAGGGAGAGGCCAUGUUCAUCGAGAAACAAAGCAAGAUCUCCGAGUCCACUCAGGACAACGAUAACGAAUUCAUCCUGGAACCACCCUUGGACCUGAACAAUAUUACUCUAUCCAGAGAGUUGCAGGGGAUGGUGGAGGUUGUAGCAGAGAACUACCACAACAUCUGGGCCAAGAAGAAGAAGACUGAGCUGAACAGUAAAGGAGGAGGGAGCCACCCAUUGCUGGUGCCCUAUGACACCCUGACAGCCAAGGAGAAGUACAGAGACAGGGAGAAGGCCCAGGAUCUCUUUAAGUUCCUGCAGAUCAAUGGAUAUAUCAUCACCAGAGACCUGAAAGACAUGGAGCAGGACUCGUCGUCCAUGGAGAAGAGGUUUGCCUACACGUUCCUCAAGAGGAUUCUGAAGUAUGUGGACUCAGCUCAGGAGUUCAUUGCUCACCUGGAGGCCAUGGCCACCAGUGGAAAGACAGACAAAUCACCCCACGAUCAGGAAAUAAAAUUCUUUGCUAAGGUUCUGCUACCUCUCAUAGAUAUGUACUUUAAGAACCACAGCAUGUACUUCCUGUCCUCGCCCAGUAGGAACCUGAGCAGCAGUGGCUACGCCUCUAACAAAGAGAAGGAGAUGAUCACUAGCCUGUUCUGUAAGAUGGCAGCUCUUGUCAGACACAGGAUUUCCCUCUUUGGGAGCGACUCGGCUGUUAUGGUGAGCUGUCUACACAUCCUGGCUCAUUCCCUGGACACAAGGACAGUGAUGAAGUCAGGCUCAGAGAUGGUGAAGGCUGGGGUCAGGACGUUAUUUGAGAACGCAGCGGAGGACCUAGAGAAGACCCUGGAGAUGCUGAAGCUGGGGAAGUUCAGCCAGUCCAGGAGCCAGAUGAAGGGCUUGACCCAGAACAUCACCUAUGCCACCACCGCUCUGCUGCCCAUCCUCACAGCCCUGUUCGAACACGUCACCAUGCAUAACUUUGGAGUCUACCUGCUGGUGGAUGAUGUCCAGCUGUCGUGCUAUCGCAUCGUGACCUGUCUCUACUCACUAGGCACGGGAAAACACAUCUUCAUAGAGAGGCACCUACCAGCCCUAGGGGAGUGUCUGGCCACCCUGGUAGGAGCCAUGCCUGUAGCUUUCCUGGAGCCUGAUCUCAAUGCUCACAACCCCCUGUCUGUCUUCAACACCAAGACACCGCGAGAGAGGGCCAUCUUGAGUAUGCCUGACUCUGUGGAGGAGAUGUGUCCAGAGAUGCCUCGUCUGGAUCGCCUGCUGAAGGACAUCAACGACAUCUCAGAGUCCGGAGCUCGCUAUACAGAGAUGCCACAGGUGAUUGAGGUGAUCCUGCCCAUGUUGUGUAACUACCUGUCCUACUGGUGGGAGAGAGGAACAGAGAACUCUGCUCCACACACUGCCUGCUGCACCACCGUGUGCUCCAACCACCUCAGCAUCAUCCUGGGGAACAUUCUCAAGAUCCUCAACAACAACCUGGGCAUCGAUGACGCUCCCUGGAUGAAGAGGAUCGCAGUCUACUCUCAGCCAAUCAUCUGCAAGGCUGCUGCGGACCUACUGAGGAGUCACUUCCUGCCCACUCUAGAGAAACUCAGGAAGAAGACAGUGAAGGUGGUGGCAGAGGAGGAACUGCUGAAGGCUGACAUUAAAGGAGACACUCAGGAAGCUGAGCUUCUCGUCCUGGAUGAGUUUGCUGUCCUCUGUAGAGACCUGUAUGCCUUCUACCCAAUGCUCAUCCGCUAUGUGGACAACAACAGAUCCAGAUGGUUGAAGAGGCCUGAUGCUCAGUCCAACGAGCUCUUCACCAUGGUGGCUGAGAUCUUCAUCCUCUGGUGCAAAUCACACAACUUCAAAAGGGAAGAGCAGAACUUUGUGGUUCAGAAUGAAAUCAACAACCUGUCUUUCCUGACUGGAGAAAGUAGAACCAAGAUGUCCAAGUCAGGUGGUGACCAGGAUAGGAAGCACAAGAAGCGGCGUGGAGAGUUAUACUCUGUCCAGACCUCUCUGAUCGUAGCCGCACUGAAGAAGAUGCUGCCCAUCGGACUCAACAUGUGCACCCCAGGAGACCAGGAGCUCAUCUCAUUGGCCAAGAUAAGAUACAGUCUGAAAGACACCGACGAUGAGGUGAAGGAUCACUUGCGUGAGAACCUUCAUCUUCAGGACAAGUCUGAUGACCUGGCAGUGCAGUGGCAGAUGAACCUGUAUAAGGAUGUGGUGGUGGAGAGUGAGGAACGUACAGACCCAGAACAAACUGUGGACAGAGUACAGAGCAUCUCUGCUGCAGUCUUCCACCUGGAGCAGGUGGAGCAGCCUCUGAGGUUGAAGAAGUGUGUGUUUCAGAAGCUACUGUCUAAACAGCGGAAACGCGCUGUGGUGGCCUGCUUCCGUAUGGCUCCUCUCUACAACCUCCCCAGGCAUCGUUCUAUUAACCUCUUCGUGUUGGGCUAUGUGAGACUAUGGAUAGAGACAGAGGAGUACUCCUUUGAGGAGAAGCUAGUGCAGGACCUGGCAAAAACCCCAAUGAAGAUCGUGGAGGAGGAGGAAGAGGAGGAGGUUGAGAUUAAGCCAGACCCUCUUCAUCAGCUUAUCCUUCACUUCAGCCACAACGCCCUGACAGAGAGAAGUUUCUUGGAAGAAGAUCCGCUGUAUAUUGCAUAUGCAGACAUGAUGGCAAAGAGUUGUGCAGAGGAUGAAGAGGAGGAAGAGGAGGAAGAGGGGAAAGAGAAGACAUUUGAGGAAAAGGAAAUGGAGAAGCAGAAGAUCUUGUACCAGCAGGCCAGACUCCACGCCCGCGGGGCUGCUGAGAUGGUGCUACAGAUGAUCAGCGCCAGUAAAGGUCGACUAGGUCCUAUGGUGACAUGUACCCUCAAACUGGGCAUCUCCAUCCUCAACGGAGGCAACGUGCUGGUCCAGCAGAAAAUGCUGGAUUACCUGAAAGAGAAAAGAGACGCAGGCUUUUUCAAGAGUCUGUCAGGCCUCAUGCAGUCCUGCAGUGUCCUGGACUUGAAUGCCUUUGAGAGACAGAACAAAGCGGAAGGUCUGGGGAUGGUGACAGAUGAAGGCUCCAUCGGCAGUGAGCGGGGUUCCAAAGUUCUGACGAAUGAUGACUUCACCAAAGAUCUCUUCCGGUUUUUGCAACUGCUCUGUGAGGGGCACAAUGGAGAUUUCCAAAACUUCCUGAGAACACAAACAGGAAACACGUUGACAGUCAACAUUAUCAUCAGCACAGUGGACUACCUGCUACGGCUUCAGGAAUCUAUCAGUGACUUCUACUGGUAUUAUUCUGGGAAAGACAUUAUCGACGAGGCAGGGCAGGUCAACUUCUCCAAAGCCUUAGCUGUCGCGAAGCAGAUCUUCAACUCGCUCACUGAGUACAUCCAGGGGCCAUGUAUUGGGAACCAGCAGAGUCUGGCCCACAGCAGACUGUGGGAUGCAGUGGUGGGAUUCCUGCAUGUGUUUGCCAACAUGCAGAUGAAGCUGUCCCAGGACUCGUGUCAGAUUGAGCUGCUCAAGGAGUUGAUGGAUCUUCAGCAGGACAUGGUGGUGAUGAUGCUUUCACUGCUCGAGGGCAACGUGGUGAAUGGAACGAUUGGAAAGCAGAUGGUGGACACUCUGGUGGAGUCCUCCAGCAACGUCGAGAUGAUCCUCAAGUUCUUCGACAUGUUCCUCAAGAUCAAGGACCUGACCACCUCUGACAACUUCAGGGAGUACGACCCCGAGAACAAGGGGGUCAUCUCCAAAAAAGAUUUCCAGAAGUCCAUGGAGAACCAGAAGCAGUACACCCAGUCGGAGAUUGAGUUCCUCCUCUCCUGCACCGAGGCCGACGAAAACGACAUGUUCAACUACGAGGAGUUUGUGGAGCGGUUCCACGAGCCGGCCAAAGACAUCGGCUUCAACGUAGCCGUGCUGCUCACCAACCUCUCUGAGCACAUGCCUCACGACCCCCGUCUGGCCACCUUCCUGGAACCAGCUGAGAGCGUGCUGAACUACUUUGAGCCGUACCUGGGCCGCAUCGAGAUCAUGGGUGGAGGGAAGCGCAUCGAGAGGGUCUACUUUGAGAUCAGCGAGUCCAGUCGUACACAAUGGGAGAAGCCACAGGUCAAAGAGUCCAAGAGACAGUUCAUCUUUGAUGUGGUCAACGAGGGGGGAGAAAGCGAGAAGAUGGAGAUGUUUGUGAACUUCUGCGAAGAUACAAUCUUUGAGAUGCAGCUGGCAUCUCAGAUCUCGGAGCCCGACGUGGUGGAGCGCCAGGAAGAGGAAGAGGAGGAGGUGCACAACUUGUUAGAAGAGCUUGCAGAGGAAGAGGAGAAUAGCGAGCUGGAGGCUUCCUCGGCUUUCACCAUGGCCUGCAUCUCCGCCAAGAAGAAGAUCUCCAACUUCAGACAGAUGCUGACCUUCAAGAUCCUCAAGAAGCAGUUCAAGAAGACCAAGAAGCUGAGCUUGAAGGAGAUGACCGUUGGGUUCUUCUCCUUCUUCUGGACGCUCUUCACAGGGUUCUUCAAGGGGAUCUACAGCCUCAUCUUCGGAUUCUUCCACCUCAUCUGGUCGUCCAUGUUCGGAGGCGGGCUCGUCGAAGGAGCCAAGAACAUGAAGGUGACAGACAUCUUGGGUAACAUGCCCGACCCCACCCAGUUUGGUAUCCACGGCGAUGUGUUGGAGAUGGAGAAGGCCGAGGUUGGUGAUUCUGUGUCGGGCGGGACAGACCAGGCCAUCAAACCGUCAGACAAGGCAGAGCAGGACAUCUUGAUGCAGAUGAUUAAUCCCACGCCAAAGAAAGGGGAAGGGUUAAAACACGUUGAUCCUGGACUGGGAGACGUCUCUGAGACUCCUGAGCCCACCGCCACUGUGGAGAAGAAGAAGGCUGUUAAAGAAACUAAAGAGUCGGAACCAGAGAAAGCAGACACAGAGAAGAAGGAGAAGGAAGACAAGGCCAAGGAGGAGGAGCCUAAAGAGGAAGUGGCUCAGGAGAAGCCCGCCCCCAAGUCCAGAAACGGCCAAUCAAAGGAUGCUCCUACUUCCUUCUUUGCCAGCUUCUUUGCUGGGCUGGAGAUCUACCAGGCCAAGAUGCUGAACACGUUGGCUCGGAACUUCUACAACAUGCGUUUCCUGGCUCUGUUUGUGGCGUUUGCCAUCAACUUCAUUCUACUGUUCUACAGGGUGACUGCUGAUGAGGAUGACUCCUGGACUAGUUCUGAUGAUGAUGAUGAUGAAGGUGGUGAGGAGUACUUUGUCCUGGAGGAGAGUACAGGCUACAUGGCUCCUACACUGUGUUUCCUUGCUGUGUUCCACACUGCCCUCUCUGUCCUCUGUUUGAUUGGCUACUACUUUCUCAAGGUGCCUCUGGUGGUGUUUAAGCGAGAGAAAGGGAUCGCCAGGCUCUUGGAGUUUGAAGGUCUCUACAUCACGGAGCAGCCGGCAGACGAUGACAUCACAGGACAGUGGGACCGCCUCGUCAUCAACACACCGUCCUUCCCCAAUAAUUACUGGGACAAGUUUAUCAAACGAAAGGUCAUUAAUAAGUACGGAGACCUGUACGGAGCUGAGCGGAUAGCUGAGCUGUUGGGUCUGGAUAAGAGCGCCCUGGACUUCGACCCUACUCAGGAGACCGUGGUGGAGGCGGCUUCUCUUGUAUCCUGGUUGAGCUCUAUCGACACCAAGUACCACAUCUGGAAAAUGGGAGUGGUGCUGACUGACAACUCGUUCCUGUACCUGAUCUGGUACGCCACCAUGUCCAUCCUGGGGCACUAUAACAACUUCUUCUUCGCUGCCCAUCUGCUGGACAUCGCCAUGGGCUUCAAGACCCUCCGGACCAUUCUGUCUUCCGUCACUCACAACGGAAAACAGUUGGUGCUGACCGUAGGUCUGUUGGCGGUGGUGGUGUAUCUGUACACUGUGGUGGCCUUCAACUUCUUCAGGAAGUUCUACAACAAGAGCGAGGAUGAGGACGCACCUGAUAUGAAGUGUGACGACAUGAUGACUUGCUAUCUGUUCCACCUGUACGCGGGGGUGAGGGCCGGCGGUGGUAUCGGUGAUGAGCUCGAGGAUCCGGCCGGAGACCCCUACGAGCUGUGGCGUAUCCUCUUCGACAUCACCUUCUUCUUCUUCGUCAUCGUCAUCCUCCUGGCCAUCAUCCAGGGUUUGAUUAUUGAUGCGUUUGGGGAACUGAGAGACCAGCAGGAGCAGGUGAAGGAGGAUAUGGAGACGAAAUGCUUCAUCUGUGGAAUUGGAAACGACUACUUUGACACGACACCCCACGGCUUUGAGACCCACACCUUACAAGAGCACAACCUGGCCAACUACCUCUUCUUCCUGAUGUACCUCAUCAACAAGGACGAGACUGAACACACGGGUCAGGAGUCAUAUGUGUGGAAGAUGUACCAGGAGAGAUGCUGGGACUUCUUCCCUGCUGGGGACUGUUUCAGGAAGCAGUAUGAGGACCUGCUUGGGUAGAGAGGACACCUAACACUACAUUACCCAGCUACCCUACAACCCUACCUGGGUAGACAGGACACCUAACACUACAUUACCCAGCUACCCUACAACCCUACCUGGGUAGACAGGACACCUAACACUACAUUACCCAGCUACCCUACAACCCUACCUGGGUAAACAGGACACCUAACACUAUUUUACCCAGCUACCAUAAAACAACACUAUCUGUAUUUGAGAGACCCGUCUACCUACUCACAACCCUACACCUUAUCUGAGACAGACUUCUUACUCACGUCAAUGAACUUUAAUGGAUAGACAACACUAUCUGUGUAGAGAGGACACCAGGACAUGACCCAGCUACCCUACAACACCAUCUGUGUAGAGAGGUCACCAGGACAUGACACAGCUACCCUACAACACCAUCUGGGUAGAGAGGACACUACCCUACAACACCAUCUGUGUAGAGAGGACACCAGGACAUGACCCAGCUACCCUACAACACCAUCUGUGUAGAGAGGACACCAGGACAUGACCCAGCUACCCUACAACACCAUCUGUGUAGAGAGGACACCAGGACAUGACCCAGCUACCCUACAACACCAUCUGGGUAGAGAGGACACUACCCUACAACACCAUAUGUGUAGAGAGGACACCAGGACAUGACCCAGCUACCCUGCAACACCAUCUGUGUAGAGAGGACACCAGGACAUGACCAAGCUACCCUACAACACCAUCUGGGUAGAGAGGACACUACCCUACAACACCAUCUGGGUAGAGAGGACACCAGGACACGACCCAGCUACCCUACAACACUAUCUGGGUAGAGAGGACACCAGGACACUACCCAGCUACCCUACAACACCAUCUGGGUAGAGAGGACACUACCCAGCUACCCUACAACACCAUCUGGGUAGAAAGGGACACCACCCAGCUACCCUACAACACCAACUGGGUAGUGAGGACACCAGGACACUACCCAGCUACCCUACAACACCAUCUGGGUAGAGAGGACACCACCCAGCUACCCUACAACACCAACUGGGUAGAGAGGACACCAGGACACUACCCAGCUACCCUACAACACCAUCUGGGUAGAGAGAACACUACCCAGCUACCCUACAACACCAACUGGGUAGAGAAGACACUACCCAGCUACCCUACAACACCAACUGGGUAGAGAGGACACCAGGACAUUACCCUACAACCCCAUCUGUGUAGAGAGAACACCAGGACACUACCCAGCUACCCUACAACACCAACUGGGUAGAGAGGACACCAGGACACUACCCAGCUACCCUACAACACCAUCUGGGUAGAGAGAACACUACCCAGCUACCCUACAACACCAACUGGGUAGAGAAGACACUACCCAGCUACCCUACAACACCAACUGGGUAGAGGGGACACUCUGUAUCUGAGAGACUAACUCACUUGAACCUUAAUGGAACCUGAAAACUAGCUCCACGUUGCUCUUCUGUUGCCAUUGUAUCCAUCAUACAGUUUCACCUAUUGAAAUGGCCAGCCACUACUGAGGAGAGACUGAUGUGAUGAAGACGAUGACUGACGAUGAUUGGACUUGGUGUUUUGGAUUUUUAUAUGGAAAGUCAAGUCCUUUUGCCUGUCACUAAAAGAUAAGUCACCCGCCACGGUGACACCUCAAAAUAAAAAUAUAUAUAUAUUUUGAUGUGAUUUGUCAUGAUGACACGUUGCCCUUUUCACUUCGCUUAACACCAAAACCGUUGCACAAUCCGUCAUGUGGCAGAGUGGAGACAUUGAUGUGUAGGGUUUCAGUUUGAUGGGUGAUGGAAUGUACAAGUAAUGCACAAGCCAUGAUAUUAAUACCGAAGACCGUAAUAACCCAGAUAUGAACUGAUUACCAAAAUAAGAUUGCUAUGCUAGAAUGUGUAUUGUGGUGGUGAUAAUGAUGAAACUAGAAAUUAAAUUCAUUGAAUUAGAACUGUUCUAGCUUGGUCUGAAUAUGAUUUGCUUGGAGAGAUGAGGAAUUUAAAAAAUGCGUCCCUCAAGGGUCAGUCUUGAGCCCAUUUAUAGUUGUUUAUCAAGUGCCGUUGUGCCUUAAUUUGAGAAACUAUGCACACACAAACAUGGUGUCCCUUGACGCCCUUUAGUGCUCUAGAUUUUGGAUUAGUUAAGAGCAUAAUUGCCUAGCUACAGUAGUGAUAGUUUUGUGGAUAUUCAGUUCAAAACAUUUACUUUGUUGUACAAAAACUAGGUAACCAUUGUGUAAAUGUUGCUCCAUUUGGAUUGGUUCCACAAGCUUCAGAGUCUCCUUGCCUGCCUGUACACCUUUCUUUCCACAGUAGAACUGAGAAAUGAGACACACUGAGGAAAUAACACGGUUCGAGAUUUAUUGAACAGGUAGCGACACAGAGAGAAACAGUUGAACCUCUAAUUGUAUGAACAUUUUGGAUGUAGUAGCUUUGAGAAACUGCGUUUCUUUCUGAGGAGGCAGGAAGGAUGGAUGGAGAAGAAUAAAGUAACCAAUGCAAUGAAAAA